GGCGUAAAGCGCGCGCAGGCGGCAACCUAAGUGUCGUGUGAAAGCCCCCGGCUCAACCGGGGGAGGCCAUGGCAAACUGGGUCGCUCGAGCUGCGGAGAGGCCCCUCGAAUUGCCGGUGUAGCGGUGAAAUGCGUAGAGAUCGGCAGGAAGACCAAGGGGGAAGCCAGGGGGCUGGACGCAGGCUGACGCUGAGGCGCGACAGCGCGGGGAGCAAACCGGAUUAGAUACCCGGGUAGUCCACGCCGUAAACGAUGACCACUCGGCGUGUGGCGACAUUGACGUCGCGGCGCGCCCUAGCUCACGCGAUAAGUGGUCCGCCUGGGAACUACGAGCGCAAGCUUAAAACUCAAAGGAAUUGACGGGGGCCCGCACAAGCAGCGGAGCGUGUGGUUUAAUUCGACGCAAACCGAAGAACCUUACCCAGACUGGACAUGACGGGCAGACGGCGGAAACGUCGUCGCCUGCGGGGUCCGUCACAGGUGCUGCAUGGCUGUCGUCAGCUCGU
rnacentral:rRNA from 1 species